CACGGAGCUCCUGCAGUUUCUUAUGCCUGUGUUUUGUGCCGUCUGCGAUUUCCAUCAAUGAAAGGAUAUACAGACCAUCUCUCUCAAAAGGCAAAAUUGGCUGAUGGCCAUGAAAAAAACCUUCCGGCCCAAACCAUUCAAUGUUUUGCAUGUCCCAAAUGUUUUCUGCUUUUUAACCUAAGAGAUGAAUGUCUGCAACACAUGACUUUGCAGAAUCAUUUGGGGAGCGCUUUCAAAUUUGUAGACCAGAGUAAAGGACCACAUUGAUCACCAGAAGGACAGAGUCUCUUCAACUCUUGACCGACUUGCACGCCACGUAGAGAUAGAGAAACAACAGCGGGAGGAGAGAAACAAAGCAUUCCAGGAAAAAAUACACCACCAACAUGCUCAUGGUUUACAAGAACUAGAAUUUAUCAAGGAUCAUCCAGGGACAGAUGCUGCAAGACUCUGUGUCAACCAGUGGCUGAAAGUACCAGGUCCCAGGCCAGGCACAGUAAGCGCAAGCCGAAGACCUGUGUUGGCAUGUAGUGAGCGAGCGCCGACAAACACCACGUCUAUUACCUGCCCGGUAAUGCAUUGCAAUAAAAAAUUUGACAAUGGUCAGCUACUCCUAGGCCAUCUGAAAAGGUAAAUGUGGUUUUCAGCCUCUGCAGUUCUGUUACACGCUCCUUUACAAUAUCAACGU